rnacentral:rRNA from 1 species
CAGCCGCCGCGGUAAUACGUAGGUGGCAAGCGUUGCCCGGAAUUAUUGGGCGUAAAGGGCUCGCAGGCGGUUUCUUAAGUCUGAUGUGAAAGCCCCCGGCUCAACCGGGGAGGGUCAUUGGAAACUGGGAAACUUGAGUGCAGAAGAGGAGAGUGGAAUUCCACGUGUAGCGGUGAAAUGCGUAGAGAUGUGGAGGAACACCAGUGGCGAAGGCGACUCUCUGGUCUGUAACUGACGCUGAGGAGCGAAAGCGUGGGAAGCGAACAGGAUUAGAUACCCCCGUAGUCCCUGUCUCUUAUAC